UACGUAGGCAGCAAGCGUUGUUCGGAGUUACUGGGCGUAAAGAGUGUGUAGGCGGUGUUCCAAGUCUGUUGUGAAAUCUCCCGGCUUAACUGGGAGGGUGCGGCGGAAACUGGGAUGCUAGAGGAUGGGAGAGGUAAGCGGAAUUCCUGGUGUAGCGGUGAAAUGCGUAGAUAUCAGGAGGAACACCUGUGGUGUAGACAGCUUACUGGACCAUUUCUGACGCUGAGACACGAAAGCGUGGGUAGCAAACAGG
rnacentral:rRNA from 1 species